CACCGAAGCCUGCGGUAGUUUUGCUGUUAGGCAAUGUGGUGUGCGGGUCGGCUCGCGGGACCGUCACUCCACUCGAAGUCCAGCAUUGAGUAUGGUUAUCACUGGAUUUGGCCCAUAGAGGGUGAGAGGCCCGUAAGAGUGGGGGUUCAGACAUGUGCGGCGGUUCACCAGGCCGACCUCAGAGUCGGGUUGUUUGAGAUUGCAGCCCAAAGAGGGUGGUAAACUCCAUCCAAGGCUAAAUACUAGCACGAGUCCGAUAGCGAACAAGUACCGUGAGGGAAAGUUGAAAAGUACUCUGAAGAGAGAGUAAACAGUACGUGAAGCCGCAUGCAGGUAAACGGGUGGCGUCAAGCUGCUAGCCCGGAGGAUUCAGCUGAUUAGGGUGUAGUGUACGCGCGCCUGGUGCGUCGAGAGACCGGGAUAAGAUGCAUGGCGGUCCACUCCUCCACUAGGAGUGGGGCGCUACCAGUGGGCAUGCUUGCGUGUCUAUUGGUAGUCGCCAUGUGUGCCGGAUGGGUGCCGGAGCAUGCCGCUCAUCUGUUGGGUCGCCUAGUCAGUGCAUUUUCUCCGUGGUGAACACCACGACCGGUGGAACUGCCAGUCCACUGUGGUCAAGUCGUGCCCUUCUGAUCGCCUCCCUAGCCCUCACCGGGUUGGGGUAUGUGUGUGUUGGGUGGGUACGAUCGCAGAUGGAGUCGGUGGACGGCGCGGUGGUGCCUCGGUGCCGCUGUGUGCUAUCGUGCACUCUCCAGCCUUAGCAAUUAAUGGGGUGCUUGGACUUAGUGCUGUGACUACUUUCCCAUUAAUUGGCGGAUAACAGUGGUGAAAGUGACUGUGCAGGGCAUCGGAGUUAUCCACCUCAUUCAAGUAUGGUACCCGACACGCACGUUACAGGUGCUAAUUGGGGCGUGCCGCUGUCUGCCUGUUGCUGGACCUGACUGUCGUGUUGCCUACGCAAGGUGGGUCCGAUGGUGGUUGCAGGCACUUGGCAGUGGCAGUGUGUAGCGCGCUUCAGGUGUGUGUGGUACCGGGGGUGAAAUAGUCAGUGGUGCUGUGGUAGACGAGCUACCCGACCCGUCUUGAAACACGGACCAAGGAGUUUAACAUGUGUGCGAGUCAAAGGGUCCUACGAAACCCCGAGGCGCAGUGAAAGUGAAGUUCAUGCUGUACUUUUGCACACGUGCAGUACGGUAUGGCGAGGUGAGAUCUCCUUGUGCUCAUGACACACGCCGCAGGCCUUACUGGGCAAUAUUGGGGCAAGGAGCGCAUCACCGGCCCGUCGCAUGCUGUGGUCAUAGGUGCACUUGUACGCGGAAGAGUGUAUGCGUGUGUGUGUGUGUAUGUGCGCACAAAGCGUGUGUAUGUGUAUGCAUUCGUGUGCAUUUGGAAGCGUGCAAAGCCUUUGCGUCAGCGCGGCGGAGCAUGAGCACCCAUGUUGAGACCCGAAAGAUGGUGAACUAUGCUUGCGUAGGUUGAAGCCAGAGGAAACUCUGGUGGAGGACCGUAGCGAUUCUGACGUG
rnacentral:rRNA from 1 species